CACAUUUAAACCAACAUAAAACUGUGUUUUUUCUGAGUUUUUCUUAGCGGAAGUUGGUUUUUGCUAAUAAAAGUGAGUUUUAUGUGUGCUAAACUGUGCUUAACUGAGUUUAAAGUUGGUUAUUUUAAGAAGAUGUGUGUUUAAGCGAGUUUUUUUCUGUAAGAAGUCGGUUUUUUGUGUGUCAAAAGUGAGCAUUUUUAUUUAUGAGUUGGUUUAUGUGUGUUUAAGUGUGUCUUUUUGUUUUAUAAGCGAGUCUUUUACAACAGAAGUUGGUCUUUUUUUUAACAGAAGUGGGUUUAAGCGAGUUUAACUUGGUCUUUUUGUAAAUAAGUUGAGAGCUGCAACGAGGCUUAAAGACUCACUUUAACACACUUUUCAACAAGUUGGUCUUUUGUUUAUUAAUAUAACUCAUCAAUGAAACAAUAAUUCUUCAACUGGGUCUUUGUUUGAUGUUUAUAGCCAUAAAUAAAACAAGUCAAUUGUAAAGGGGCUUUUUUUACAGCUUGUUUGCCAUUGUCCCUAUUGUACAUUUGUGUGCUCCCCAUAAUUUUUAGGGAAUAUUGGAUGAAAAUGGCUCUUUCAGAACAUCACAGGUUCACAGAUGGACAACAAGUAUCACUGACAAAAACUAUAACAAUGGUCAAGCUUAGUUUUAUACAUGAAAAUGAAAGAGUUUGUGUUUCACUUUGAAUUUUUAUCUUUAUGUUUGUUUUUAUUAUAAACAAUAUCUUAUGAUUGUUUUAUGUCUUAAUUUUUUAUUUUUUUUAAACAAUCUCAUAUGAUUGUUUAUAUUUGUUUAAAACAGUAUUUACUUGUUAAAUCUGCAUAUUUAAAUAAUUAUGGUAUUGGAAACAUUAUUUUGGAAAUAAUCUAUUUAUUUUUGUACAUAAGUUAUGCAAGAUUUUGAUAUUUGCAUAUGAUACCAUCAUAUCCAUUUUCUUAAUUUGCAAUAAAAUAAUAAAAUGCCAAACAUGACCUGUGUUACAUAAACUGUCAACAAAAUAACAAGACAAUACCUAAAAACACCCUUAUUUCACACCACUAACAAUAAACAGAUAACAAUCUGUCAGGCACUCAGAGCUAAACAGGGUACAGAUUAUCUAGGGGCAGAUAAGGCUACUGAUGGGGUUUGCCUAGAGAUAAGGCUGUGUGGAAUAAGAUAUAAGGCUUUUGAUUGGCUAUUGCACCGAGGAAGUUAUCUUUUUGAAAACAACAACUUUUGAAAAACAAGCUGGUGUCAGCAAUUGAAUAUUGAGCUAAAUUUAAUUCAGCAACAUUAAUAUAAAGAAGUGAAAGACUUAUAAUGGUAGUGUAAAAUGUCUUGAAAUUCUGUCAGCAUGAAGUAUUGUGUGAUGAAAACAAUGUGUUUUUUACUGCAAUGUGGAAAUCAAUAAUAAGUUGGUUGGAAAGGAGGUUGAACUGCCUGUUGUUGUUUUUGGAAUACUGAAGAACAGUUUUAACAGGUUAAACUCUUGCCACAAGGCAAAAUAGACAUUGAUGGGAAGAUCCUUUGGAAAGAAUGUGCAUCAUCGCCUGCCUGAUGUAUGGACUUUUAAACCUGGUUUUUAUCCUGCACAAGCUGGCAAACUUGAGGGGAUCAAGAGUGGGAAAACCUCGCCCUGUCCUUGACCAAGAAAGCUCGAUUUGUUGAGAGAUCAACUGGCAUAAGAGAUGCUCAAGAGGAGAAGGACACAAGCAGCAUCAAUGGUACAUGUCACUCCAGCGCCUGCUUUCCAGGUCUCUACCAGCUGCUUUCCAGGUCCCUCCACCAACCAAGAUCAGGUCUAGGUCCCUGCACUGGCUGCUUUCCAGGUCCCCUAGCGGUCAAGGUCUCUCCAGUAGCUGCUGUGCAGGUCCCAACACCGUAUGCCGUAGGUCCCUCCAUAAGCUGAAAUCCAGGUUCCUCAUUCCACUGCGGUUCAGGUACCUCCAACAGCUGAGAUCCAGGUCUCUGCAGCAGCUGCGGUCUAAAUACUCCACCCGCAGUGGUCCAUUGCGGUCAACCUUUUGCUUUAAAAUCUUCCAUAAAUGUCUAUUAUUGUAUAAUGUAUUGUAAAAAUAAUCUGUUUGUAUUAAUUUGCGGUGUACUAUUUUUGUCAUAUAAACAUAAUUUUUGUACACAUUGUGUUUUUUCCCUUUUAACCACAUGGGGCUUAUAAUGAACUGUUGUAAUUGCUUCACAAAAACCAUUUUUUCUAGAACAUAUCAGUCCAAAAUUAUUUUUUUUCACACUGCAAAAUCCCACAAAAGGCUCACAAAAAACCUACUUUCUAAAAAAAAAUCACUAAAACACUGUUAAAACCCACAAAAAUCAACUUACCCAAACGCACAAAUUGCUUUUGUUUUUUUCACAGAUAAAAUACUGUUAAUAACUAGGUUUAAAGCGAGUUAAAAGCAUGUUUUCACUGUGAAAAAAACUAACAAAGGCGUGCUUUCAGCUCACUUUUCGCUCACUUAAAAACCGUGUUUAGCCUGCUUAUAGCUCACAUAAAAAACACACUUUUUACCCACUUAAAACCAACUCCACAGACAGAAGUUGGUCUAAGCAUGUUUAAAAAACCUCAAAAAACCAACUUGUAGAAAAUCAUACUCACUUUAAACCCACUUAAGAUGGUUAAAAAACCCACUUUGUUGGUUUAAAGCGAGUUAAACCAAGAUUUAACUCAGAAAAAAACCAAGUCGGUAAGCUAAAAAACCCAGUCGGUAAGCUAAAAGCAUGUCUGAAAAACCCGCUUUUAGCACAGUGCAAAUACCGCAGAGUUAAACACAGAUGCCUGAAAAAAACUCACUUUAAACCCACUUAAGACGGUUAAAAAACCACUAUGUUGGCUUUAAGCGAGUUAAACCAAGAUUCAACUCAGAUAAAACCAAGUUGGUAAGCAAAAAGUGUGUUUAAAAGACUCGCUUUUAGCUCGGUGCCAAUACCGCAGGGUUAAACCCAGUUUAAAACUGGGUUAUAACCGGAUUUUGCUCACUUUUUUGAC